GGAAUCUUGCGCAAUGGGCGAAAGCCUGACGCAGCGACGCCGCGUGGGGGAAGAAGGCCUUCGGGUUGUAAACCUCUUUUCUUAGGGACGAGGACGGACGGUACCUAAGGAAUAAGCCCCGGCUAACUACGUGCCAGCAGCCGCGGUAAUACGUAGGGGGCGAGCGUUGUCCGGAUUUACUGGGCGUAAAGGGUGCGUAGGCGGUGUAGUAUGUCUUGGGUGAAAGCCCCUGGCUUAACCAGGGGAGAGCCUGAGAAACGGCUACGCUAGAGGACGGUAGAGGCGAGUGGAAUUCCCGGUGUAGUGGUGAUAUGCGUAGAGAUCGGGAGGAACACCCGUGGCGAAGGCGGCUCGCUGGGCCGUACCUGACGCUAAGGCACGAAAGCGUGGGGAGCGAACCGG
rnacentral:rRNA from 1 species